rnacentral:rRNA from 1 species
UACGGGGGAUGCAAGCGUUAUCCGGAAUUAUUGGGCGUAAAGCGCCUGUAGGUGGUUUAAUAAGUCUGUUGUUAAAGACUAGGGCUUAACCCUAGAAAAGCAAUGGAAACUACUAGACUAGAGUAUGGCAGGGGUAGAGGGAAUUUCUAGUGUAGCGGUGAAAUGCGUAGAUAUUAGAAAGAACACCGGUGGCGAAAGCGCUCUACUGGACCAUUACUGACACUCAGAGGCGAAAGCUAGGGUAGCAAAAGGGAUUAGAUACCCCUGUAGUCCUAGCCGUAAACGAUGGAUACUAGAUGUUGUAUUGUUUUUUCAGUAUCGUAGCUAACGCGUUAAGUAUCCCGCCUGGGGAGUAUGCUCGCAAGGGUG